rnacentral:misc_RNA from 1 species
UUUCCGUAGGUGAACCUGCGGAAGGAUCAUUGUCGAAGCCUGCCCAGCAGAACGACCCGCGAACUUGUAUAAACAACCGGGGGCAGGGGCGAUCUCGCCCCGUGCCCUCGAACGGCAGGGAGACACUCGUGCCUUCUUGUCGAACAACGAACCCCGGCGCGGUCUGCGCCAAGGAACUUCAAUUAAAGAGGGCCUCCGGUCGCCUCGGAAACGAUGCGCGUGUCGGAGGCGAAUCUUGUACAAAACCAUAACGACUCUCGGCAACGGAUAUCUCGGCUCUC